GGGGUCUAAUACCGGAUAUGAACGUCUGCCGCAUGGUGGGUGUUGGAAAGUUUUUCGGUGGGGGAUGGGCUCGCGGCCUAUCAGCUUGUUGGUGGGGUAAUGGCCUACCAAGGCGUCGACGGGUAGCCGGCCUGAGAGGGCGACCGGCCACACUGGGACUGAGACACGGCCCAGACUCCUACGGGAGGCAGCAGUGGGGAAUAUUGCACAAUGGGCGAAAGCCUGAUGCAGCGACGCCACGUGAGGGAUGACGGCCUUCGGGUUGUAAACCUCUUUCAGCAGGGAAGAAGCGAAAGUGACGGUACCUGCAGAAGAAGCGCCGGCUAACUACGUGCCAGCAGCCGCGGUAAUACGUAGGGCGCAAGCGUUGUCCGGAAUUAUUGGGCGUAAAGAGCUCGUAGGCGGUCUGUCGCGUCUGGUGUGAAAUCCCAUGGCUCAACUGUGGGCUUGCAUCGGGUACGGGCAGACUAGAGUACUGUAGGGGAGACUGGAAUUCCUGGUGUAGCGGUGGAAUGCGCAGAUAUCAGGAGGAACACCGAUGGCGAAGGCAGGUCUCUGGGCAGUUACUGACGCUGAGGAGCGAAAGCAUGGGGAGCGAACAGGAUUAGAUACCCUGGUAGUCCAUGCCGUAAACGUUGGGCACUAGGUGUGGGGCCAGUUCCACUGGUUCUGUGCCGCAGCUAACGCAUUAAGUGCCCCGCCUGGGGAGUACGGCCGCAAGGCUAAAACUCAAAGGAAUUGACGGGGGCCCGCACAAGCGGCGGAGCAUGCGGAUUAAUUCGAUGCAACGCGAAGAACCUUACCAAGGCUUGACAUGUACGAGAAAGCCCCAGAGAUGGGGUUCUCUUUGGACACUCGUACACAGGUGGUGCAUGGUUGUCGUCAGCUCGUGUCGUGAGAUGUUGGGUUAAGUCCCGCAACGAGCGCAACCCUUAUCCUAUGUUGCCAGCGGGUUAUGCCGGGGACUCAUGGGAGACUGCCGGGGUCAACUCGGAGGAAGGUGGGGAUGACGUCAAAUCAUCAUGCCCCUUAUGUCUUGGGCUUCACGCAUGCUACAAUGGCCGGUACAG
rnacentral:rRNA from 1 species